UGGUGGAGCGAUUUGUCUGGUUAAUUCCGAUAACGAACGAGACUCUGGCAUGCUAACUAGUUACGCGACCCCCGAGCGGUCGGCGUCCCCCAACUUCUUAGAGGGACAAGUGGCGUUCAGCCACCCCGAGAUUGAGCAAUAACA
rnacentral:rRNA from 1 species